rnacentral:rRNA from 1 species
GACGAACGCUGGCGGCGUGCUUAACACAUGCAAGUCGAACGGUAAGGCCCUUCGGGGUACACGAGUGGCGAACGGGUGAGUAACACGUGGGUGAUCUGCCCUGCACUUUGGGAUAAGCCUGGGAAACUGGGUCUAAUACCGGAUAGGACCAUGGACUUCACGGUUUGGGGUGGAAAGCUUUUGCAGUGUGGGAUGGGCCCGCGGCCUAUCAGCUUGUUGGUGGGGUAAUGGCCUACCAAGGCGACGACGGGUAGCCGGCCUGAGAGGGUGUCCGGCCACACUGGGACUGAGAUACGGCCCAGACUCCUACGGGAGGCAGCAGUGGGGAAUAUUGCACAAUGGGCGCAAGCCUGAUGCAGCGACGCCGCGUGGGGGAUGACGGCCUUCGGGUUGUAAACCUCUUUCAGUAGGGACGAAGCGCAAGUGACGGUACCUACAGAAGAAGCACCGGCCAACUACGUGCCAGCCGCCGCAGUAA